AGCUGCUGCAACUGUCAGGGAUUUAUUAGGUGAUGAAUAUACAGCAAUCUCUGAAAGGGCUGAACAGCAUCAAAAGAAGAGGUAAGAAGAAAAGCAUGAAGAACAACACAGCAAAGAGAACAAGAGUAUCCUCACUGACUUCCUGGUAAAACAGAUUCAGCAGCAGCCAAGGGCAACA